AUGAACGCUAGCUACAGGCUUAACACAUGCAAGUCGAGGGGCAGCGGGAUUGAAGCUUGCUUCAAUUGCCGGCGACCGGCGCACGGGUGAGUAACGCGUAUCCAACCUUCCGUACACUCAGGGAUAGCCUUUCGAAAGAAAGAUUAAUACCUGAUGGUAUGAUGAGAUCGCAUGGUAUCAUCAUUAAAGAUUUAUCGGUGUACGAUGGGGAUGCGUUCCAUUAGGCAGUUGGCGGGUAACGGCCCACCAAACCAACGAUGGAUAGGGGUUCUGAGAGGAAGGUCCCCCACAUUGGAACUGAGACACGGUCCAAACUCCUACGGGAGGCAGCAGUGAGGAAUAUUGGUCAAUGGACGAGAGUCUGAACCAGCCAAGUAGCGUGAAGGAUGACUGCCCUAUGGGUUGUAAACUUCUUUUAUACGGGAAUAAAGUGAGGCAUGUGUGCCUUUUGUAUGCACCGUAUGAAUAAGGAUCGGCUAACUCCGUG
rnacentral:rRNA from 1 species